CCUUGAAAUACCACCCUUUAAUGUUUGAUGUUCUAACGUUGGCCCCUGAUCGGGGUUGCGGACAGUGUCUGGUGGGUAGUUUGACUGGGGCGGUCUCCUCCUAAAGAGUAACGGAGGAGCACGAAGGUUGGCUAAUCCUGGUCGGACAUCAGGAGGUUAGUGCAAUGGCAUAAGCCAGCUUGACUGCGAGCGUGACGGCGCGAGCAGGUGCGAAAGCAGGUCAUAGUGAUCCGGUGGUUCUGAAUGGAAGGGCCAUCGCUCAACGGAUAAAAGGUACUCCGGGGAUAACAGGCUGAUACCGCCCAAGAGUUCAUAUCGACGGCGGUGUUUGGCACCUCGAUGUCGGCUCAUCACAUCCUGGGGCUGAAGUAGGUCCCAAGGGUAUGGCUGUUCGCCAUUUAAAGUGGUACGCGAGCUGGGUUUAGAACGUCGUGAGACAGUUCGGUCCCUAUCUGCCGUGGGCGCUGGAGAACUGAGGGGGGCUGCUCCUAGUACGAGAGGACCGGAGUGGACGCAUCACUGGUGUUCGGGUUGUCAUGCCAAUGGCACUGCCCGGUAGCUAAAUGCGGAAGAGAUAAGUGCUGAAAGCAUCUAAGCACGAAACUUGC
rnacentral:rRNA from 1 species